rnacentral:tRNA from 1 species
GCGUCCGUCGUCCAGGGGCUAGGGCCUCAGCCUUCCAAGCUGAUGACAUCGGUUCGAAUCCGAUCGCACGCUCCA